ACCACACUGACUUCCACAAUGGUUGAACUAGUUUAUAGUCCCACCAACAGUGUAAAAGUAUUCCUAGUUCUCCACAUCCUCUCCAGCACCUGUUGUUUCCUGACUUUUUAAUGAUCGCCAUUCUAACUGGUGUGAGAUGGUAUCUCAUUGUAAAUACACACAUAUUUUAAGAUUACCACAACUAAUGAAAUGUAAGGCUCAUUGCCUUACGUUUGUGUUUAACACUGUGUCUAACUAGGGGCAUCUCCAACUUUUCUAAACAUUUGCAGACAGCCGUGUUCGUGCACAGGUAAUUGCUCAUCUCAGAACAGUGCCCCUGAGCCAACUGGAGCAAGGACUUAGUGCCUUUUAGAAAGGAUUCAAGGUCAUGGCUUAUCACAGAUGCCCUGCUAAUGAACAUCUUACAGAUCAUCCUAGGAUGCAAGAAAAACAAUCUCUCAAAAUUUCAGAGGGACCACUGGAAAUCAGCCAUUUGGGAGUUUGGGUUGAACUGACUGUUUCUUCAAUGAGCCAACUACUGUACAUUCAGCCUAAAACCGUUAGAUGGUGAGGAGUAAACAUGUCCAUUCCUGGGGUCCUCAUUCCACGCCAUGCCAGCCACGAUUGUGCUUGUGCACUCAGGAAAGAAAGGCUAUGGCUGUUUCUUAAGAGCGGCCCAUCCUGAUGACACAGUGCAGGUUCUGAACUGGACCUGGUGAACAUCACUGAUGAGCAAUCCCGCUGAGCAUGGGAAGAGAAGGGAUCUUAAUCCGAGCACCUUGCUUAGCACUGGUGACCUCCUCCAGGACGUGGAAGAAAAAAAGGAGAGCGCGGCAGCCCGGGAUCCCCUCUGGCCCUUUGCACUGCUGUCUUCUAAUCCGUGUGCAUCCUGGUGGUCAUCAGUUUGAUCCGUUCGCCUCUUUUUUGCAAGGAAGCCCUGUCGUGCAAGGGAAGGUCAGACGGAUGAGAUUCCGGUUGGUCCCUCUAGCUAAGCUGUUCCGCACGGCGAGUGUAUGGGAACGAGGCUGCUUUGAGCUAACUUUGCCAACGCUCUGCUGGUGAGCACGUUUCUGCACUGUUGAGCUGACAGCUGAAAUCUGUCCUCCUCCUGCGUGUGAUGUCAGCUGUGGGCCAGCCUGGCAGUUAUGAAGAGAAGAAGAGGGGACAGCUAGGGGGAAGAGGAAGCAUGUUACGAUUGUGACCAGACCGGCUGAAACUGUGUGUCAUGUGUCACAAACCCCACGGCCUGGCAGAUCUCCGUGGAGGGAGCUUUGCCUACUCGCAUGACAUAUCUAAAGGCUCACGGGAGGCCAGCCCGCACCUGUAAGUCUCCUGGCUGACGUGCGACCAGGCAGCCUCCAGAGAGAGAGAGAGAGGGAAAUGGGCAAGAGCUGAGACUCCAGCAGCAGCAGGAAAUGGGCUGCGUUGCAGACAGCCGGCGCCACCAAGAGUUAUUUCUAAAAUCUGGGUUCGAUUAUGAUGUGCAGUCAGGUACAAACUGACAGACGAACAACUUUCUCCCAUCUCGCGGCUGCUCCUUGUUUACAGUGCUUUCAGACUCCAUGGAAGUUUCUCUAAAGGCACCUGUGUGGUGUCUCAUAAGAGUCCGGGCUGCCAAGCGCCUCCCGUGUCAUUUCUAACAGGUGUGGAAGGUGAAAGGAAGGAACAUGAAGGAAAAGAUAAGACACGAAGAGAAGGAGCCAUGUGGAAAAACCUGGAGUGCAGAAGUGUUCGUCUGAAAGGCUACGAUGACCGUGAUGAGUAAAUUAUUUUAUUCCUACCAUUAUACAAUAAAAUACUAUCCAGUUCUUGUGUUUAUAGGAGAACAAAUGACUGUUUCUCUAUUUCCAUUCAUCUUCUAUUUUUAAAAUAAAAACUUUAUAUAAGCAUAGGAUACUUAAAAGGACCAAGAUAUAUUUUGGCUUGUGUUUACAUAGGGACAUGUUUGAAAACAUAGCAUUUUUUAAUUGGUAAAAUAGGUAAAAACAACUGGAGAGGAAGUUUCAUGCUUGGCAGAGAUGAUAUUGAAAUAUUCAAUGCACCGGGCA
rnacentral:lncRNA from 10 species